CGUAGGUGGCAAGCGUUGUCCGGAAUUAUUGGGCGUAAAGCGCGCGCAGGCGGUCCUUUAAGUCUGAUGUGAAAGCCCACGGCUCAACCGUGGAGGGUCAUUGGAAACUGGGGGACUUGAGUACAGAAGAGAAGAGUGGAAUUCCACGUGUAGCGGUGAAAUGCGUAGAGAUGUGGAGGAACACCAGUGGCGAAGGCGACUCUUUGGCUGUAACUGACGCUGAGGCGCGAAAGCGUGGGGAGCAAACAGGAUUAGAUACCCUGGUAGUCCACGCUGUAAACGAUGAGUGCUAAGUGUUAGAGGGUUUCCGCCCUUUAGUGCUGCAGCUAACGCAUUAAGCACUCCGCCUGGGGAGUACGGCCGCAAGGCUG
rnacentral:rRNA from 1 species